GCGAGUUCAUAACUCUCUAAACCAUUGUGAACCGACCGCACCGUUGCUUCGCGGUGCCGGCACCAGGCCUCCUGCCCUGCUUCGGGCCCGGCAAGCCGCAAGACCGAAACUCCUGUAUUACUGUCUCUCUGAGUACUUAUACAAUAAGUCA
rnacentral:misc_RNA from 1 species